AGCGAACACUGGCGGCGGGCUUAACACAUGCAAGUCGAGCGCCCCGCCAGGGGAGCGGCAGACGGGAGAGUAACACGUGGGAACAUACCUUUUGGUUCGGAACAACUGAGGGAAACUUCAGCUAAUACCGGAUAAGCCCUUACGGGGAAAGAUUUAUCGCCGAAAGAUUGGCCCGCGUCUGAUUAGCUAGUUGGUGAGGUAACGGCCCACCAAGGCGACGAUCAGUAGCUGGUCUGAGAGGAUGAUCAGCCUCACUGGGACUGAGACACGGCCCAGACUCCUACGGGAGGCAGCAGUGGGGAAUAUUGGACAAUGGGGGCAACCCUGAUCCAGCCAUGCCGCGUGAGUGAUGAAGGCCUUAGGGUUGUAAAGCUCUUUUGCCCGGGAAGAUAAUGACGGUACCGGGAGAAUAAGCCCCGGCUAACUUCGUG
rnacentral:rRNA from 1 species